rnacentral:rRNA from 1 species
GACGAACGCUGGCGGCGUGCUUAACACAUGCAAGUCGAACGGAAAGGCCCUGCUUUUGUGGGGUGCUCGAGUGGCGAACGGGUGAGUAACACGUGAGUAACCUGCCCUUGACUUUGGGAUAACUUCAGGAAACUGGGGCUAAUACCGGAUAGGAGCUCCUGCUGCAUGGUGGGGGUUGGAAAGUUUCGGCGGUUGGGGAUGGACUCGCGGCUUAUCAGCUUGUUGGUGGGGUAGUGGCUUACCAAGGCUUUGACGGGUAGCCGGCCUGAGAGGGUGACCGGCCACAAUGGGACUGAGAGACGGCCCAGACUCCUACGGGAGGCAGCAGUGGGGAAUAUUGCACAAUGGGCGGAAGCCUGAUGCAGAAACGCCGCGUGCGGGAUGACGGCCUUCGGGUUGUAAACCGCUUUCGCCUGUGACGAAGCGUGAGUGACGGUAAUGGGUAAAGAAGCACCGGCUAACUACGUG